UCUUAGAGCUGUCCAAAUCAUAUAUAAACAACAAACACGCAAAUCUCAGCGUCAAAUUUCUCCAACAUACAGACUUGAAUAGAAGAAAUCAUACAGCAUCAAUGAACACACUCAUCUUAGGAGAACACCUGGCUGCUUCAAAAACGCCUUCUCCGUCUGUAACACAAAGCAACUCCAUUAGAUUUUCUCUAUACACACACAAAAAAAAACAUUAUAUAUAUAGGUAGUUGUUAGGAAGAACCUGUUCCGCCAUGGUUGAGGGUUACGAAGGAAGCUGCACUGAAUGAGAAGAUAUGUUCGGUAUCAGUAAACCCUAAUUUGCAGCUGAGAAAAAGUGUUGUGUGGGCUUAGAG
rnacentral:lncRNA from 1 species